GACGAACGCUGGCGGCGUGCUUAACACAUGCAAGUCGAACGGAAAGGCCCUGCUUUUGUGGGGUGCUCGAGUGGCGAACGGGUGAGUAACACGUGAGUAACCUGCCCUUGACUUUGGGAUAACUUCAGGAAACUGGGGCUAAUACCGGAUAGGAGCUCCUGCUGCAUGGUGGGGGUUGGAAAGUUUCGGCGGUUGGGGAUGGACUCGCGGCUUAUCAGCUUGUUGGUGGGGUAGUGGCUUACCAAGGCUUUGACGGGUAGCCGGCCUGAGAGGGUGACCGGCCACAGGGGGAUGGAGAGAGGCCCAGGACCCCUACGGGGGGCAAGGGGGGGAAAUGUUACAAAGGGGGGGGAGGCGGGAGGAGAAAGCGCGGGGUGGGGGAGGGGGGCUUUGGGGUUGAAAACCGGUUUCCCGUGAGAAGAAGGGGGGGUGAGGGAAAUGUAUAAAGAAGCACCGGCUAACUACGUG
rnacentral:rRNA from 1 species